GACGAACGCUGGCGGCGUGCUUAACACAUGCAAGUCGAGCGGUAAGGCCCUUUCGGGGGUACGACGAGCGGCGAACGGGUAGAGUAACACGUGGGUGACCUGCCCUCAGCUCUGGGAGUAAGCCUGGGAAACCGGGUCUAAUACCGGAUAUGACUCCAUGACGCAUGUUGUGGGGUGGAAAGCCUUGUGCGGCUGAGGAUGGGCCCGCGGCCUAUCAGCUUGUUGGU
rnacentral:rRNA from 1 species